rnacentral:misc_RNA from 1 species
UGCCUCGUUGGUUUUUGCACGCCUCAUCGCACAGACGUACGCAUCUCUCCCCUCUACACGUGCUGCGCAUAUCUCCACAUAACCAAAAGACUGUAGAACGCACGUGGUCUGGCGUGGCGCCUUCCGCGAGUCGCCUUCACGCCUCACCCGCGCCCGCUCUUUCCUGAAAGCGUCGAUGAUUUGGCAUUGACUUGCGCACGAGUACGUGUGCCAGCAUGAACCAGAAUCCCGCCGCUCAGGCCGGCGACAAGGUGCCGAACAUGUCGAACGCGCGCCGCGGCGAGACGUCCGACGACUACGCGCGACACAAGGCGGCCGCUAGCCGAGCGUUCCUGGAGAACCACUAUCAAAGCCUGCUCGCGAACACGCGCAACGGCGUCGGCCGUGCUGUCGGCCCGCGGCAGAAGGAGCCGUCCUUUUCCGACUUCCAUCUCUUCAAGUGCAUCGGUCGCGGUGCCUUUGGCGAAGUGUUUGUGUGCAAGUACAAGAGUGACAAGACCGACACCCUCUACGCCCUGAAGCGGCUGCGCAAGUCGGACAUGAUCACGAAGAAGCAAGUCGUCCACGUCCGCUCGGAAAAGGACGUCCUGGCCGAGGCGGCGGCGUCGAAUCCAUGGGUGGUGCACCUCUACCGCAGCUUCCAGGACUCUCUCUACCUCUACAUGGUGAUGGAGUACAUGCCCGGUGGUGACAUGAUCUCGUGGCUGUGCGACAAGGGCAUUUUUGACGUGGAGAGCACGCGCUUUUACAUUGCCGAGCUCUGCGCUGCCGUGGCGAGCGUGCACGACAUGGGAUUUGUGCACCGCGACAUCAAGCCGGACAACAUUCUCUUUGGGGAGUCGGGGCACAUCAAGCUGAGCGACUUCGGCCUCUCCAAGCGCUUCGUGGAGAAGCGCGGCAACCUGCUUGACUACGAUGACCCGUCCUCCUCGUCGAACGGCGCCGAGGCAUCGGCAGAUGAGAAGAGCGCGUACGAGUCAAGGACAGACGCGCCGUCAGGGUCGCCCUCCGGAGACGGCGCUGGCACCGGCAUCGCACACGGCCGCGUUCGCGAGAUGUUCCAGUCCAUCGUGGGCAGCCCCGGCUACAUCGCACCGGAGAUCCUGCUGCGCAAGCCGUACGGCGUCGGCUGUGACUGGUGGUCGGUCGGCGUCAUCAUGUACGAGAUGCUCUACGGCAUUCCGCCCUUCUUCUCGCAGAACCCCAACUCGACGUGCCAUAAGAUCAAAAACUGGCGGGAGCACCUUGUCUUCCCCCCGCAACGCCACAUUCCUGAUGACGCGGUGGACUUCAUGAAGCGCCUGAUCUGCGAGCCGGAAAAGCGCAUGACGUACGACGAGAUAUGCCACCACGACUUCCUCAAGCCGAUGGACAUGAACGGGCUGCUCAAGUUGCAGGCGCCGUAUGUGCCGGCCCUCUCCAACCGCCUGGAUACCAAGUACUUCCCUGAGAUCAAGGAGCCGAGCGCGCCGAUGCAACAGAGCGAGGAGCAGAAAGUGCGCGAGGUGGACCCCCGCGGCGUCAUGUUUGCCGACUUCCGCUUCAACUACAGCGGCGACCAAGCCGGUCCAGCAAGCGCGUAAGCGGCUGAGAAAAGGAAGAAGUGCAUAUGUGUACAUGUGUAUGCGUCUCCCCCCUCUCUCUCUCUCUAUAUAUAUAUGUGUGUGUGUGCGUAUAUGUGCACGUGUGUGUGUGUGUGUGUGCACUGUACUCUCCCGUAUUUUGUUGCCUCGAACGCUUCCACGUACUUUCAUGUGUUUUGUUGGUUCCCCUCCUUUGCGCACACACGCACGCACGCACGCGCUCUCAUUGAUAUCGCCUUGGCACUGCGGGCUCUCAUCUCGCGGCCGCUCCUUCCGUGUGUUUUCGCCCACCCCACCCCCACCACACUACCCCUCUCCGACCACCUAUGCAGUGGAGGCGCAACACGAACACGAGUGGUCCAGGGCCACCUCUGGUUUUGCUGUCAUCAAUGUCGUCGUGCGGUCGUGCGCGGAUGCUACGUUGUGCUUGACUCCUUCGUCGUUCUCUCAUUACGCGUCC